rnacentral:rRNA from 1 species
CCUACGGGAGGCAGCAGUGGGGAAUAUUGGGCAAUGGGCGCAAGCCUGACCCAGCAACGCCGCGUGAAGGAAGAAGGCCCUCGGGUUGUAAACUUCUUUUAUUCGGGACGAAACAAACGAUGGUACCGUAUGAAUAAGCCGCUGCUAACUACGUGCCAGCAGCCGCGGUAAUACGUAGGGGGCAAGCGUUAGCCGGAUUUACUGGGAGUGAAGGGGGUGUAGGCGGGAGAGCACGGCAGACGUGAAAUUCCAGGGCUCAACCCCGGAACUGCGUUUGAAACUGUUCUUCUUGAGUGAUGGAGAGGCAGGCGGAAUUCCGUGUGUAGCGGUGAAAUGCGUAGAUAUAAGGAGGAACACCAGUGGCGAAGGCGGCCUGCUGGACAUUAACUGACGUUGAGGCGCGAAAGCGUGGGGAGCAAACAGGAUUAGAUACCCCAGUAGUC